AAUACUUAGGAAUCUGCCUAUUAGUGGGGGACAACAUCUCGAAAGGGAUGCUAAUACCGCAUACGCCCUACGGGGGAAAGCAGGGGAUCUUCGGACCUUGCGCUAAUAGAUGAGCCUAAGCCAGAUUAGCUAGUUGGUGGGGUAAAGGCCUACCAAGGCGACGAUCUGUAGCGGGUCUGAGAGGAUGAUUCGCCACACUGGGACUGAGACACGGCCCAGACUCCUACGGGAGGCAGCAGUGGGGAAUAUUGGACAAUGGGGGGAACCCUGAUCCAGCCAUGCCGCGUGUGUGAAGAAGGCCUUUUGGUUGUAAAGCACUUUAAGCGAGGAGGAGGCUCCUGUAGAUAAUACCUACAGUGAGUGGACGUUACUCGCAGAAUAAGCACCGGCUAACUCUGUGCCAGCAGCCGCGGUAAUACAGAGGGUGCGAGCGUUAAUCGGAUUUACUGGGCGUAAAGCGUGCGUAGGUGGCCAAUUAAGUCGAAUGUGAAAUCCCUGAGCUUAACUUAGGAAUUGCAUUCGAUACUGGUUGGCUAGAGUAUGGGAGAGGAUGGUAGAAUUCCAGGUGUAGCGGUGAAAUGCGUAGAGAUCUGGAGG
rnacentral:rRNA from 1 species